CCUACGGGGGGCUGCAGUAAGGAAUAUUGGUCAAUGGACGAAAGUCUGAACCAGCCAUCCCGCGUGCAGGAUGAAAGCCCUAUGGGUUGUAAACUGCUUUUAGCAGAGAAGAAAAGCUUCCAUUUAUGGGGGUCUGACGGUAUCUGCAGAAUAAGCACCGGCUAACUCCGUGCCAGCAGCCGCGGUAAUACGGAGGGUGCGGGCGUUACUGGGAAUUACUGGGGUUAAGGCGUAGGUUGACGUAGUUUGUGAAAUCUUGUCGCUUAACGAGAAAAUUGCCAAUGAUACUGGUAGUCUUGAAUUGGGUUGAGGUUAGCGGAAUGUGACAUGUAGCGGUGAAAUGCAUAGAUAUGUCAUGGAACACCAAUUGCGAAGGCAGCUAACUGGGCCUUGAUUGACGCUGAGGCACGAAAGCGUGGGUAGCGAACAGGAUUAGAUACCCCUGUAGUC
rnacentral:rRNA from 1 species